rnacentral:rRNA from 1 species
CCUACGGGUGGCAGCAGUGGGGAAUAGUGGACAAUGGGGGGAACCCUGAUCCAGCCAUGCCGCGUGUGUGAAGAAGGCCCUCGGGUUGUAAAGCACUUUCAGUGAGGAAGAACGCCUGGUGGUUAAUACCCAUCAGGAAAGACAUCACUCACAGAAGAAGCACCGGCUAACUCCGUGCCAGCAGCCGCGGUAAUACGGAGGGUGCGAGCGUUAAUCGGAAUUACUGGGCGUAAAGCGCGCGUAGGUGGCUUGAUAAGCCGGUUGUGAAAGCCCCGGGCUCAACCUGGGAACGGCAUCCGGAACUGUCAAGCUAGAGUGCAGGAGAGGAAGGUAGAAUUCCCGGUGUAGCGGUGAAAUGCGUAGAGAUCGGGAGGAAUACCAGUGGCGAAGGCGGCCUUCUGGACUGACACUGACACUGAGGUGCGAAAGCGUGGGUAGCAAACAGGAUUAGAUACCCCGGUAGUC